UUGCUGAUCACAUGGUCCUAGUACCGGUGACAUAUCUUUCAAGUGUCUGCCCUAUCAACUUUCGAUGGUAGUUUAUGUGCCUACCAUGGUUGUAACGGGUGACGGAGAAUAAGGGUUCGACUCCGGAGAGGGAGCCUGAGAAAUGGCUACCACAUCCAAGGAAGGCAGCAGGCGCGCAAAUUACCCACUCUCAGUACGAGGAGGUAGUGACGAAAAAUAACGAGAUGGUUCUCUAUGAGGCCCAUCAUCGGAAUGGGUACAAUUUAAACCCUUUAACGAGGAUCUAUUGGAGGGCAAGUCUGGUGCCAGCAGCCGCGGUAAUUCCAGCUCCAAUAGCAUAUACCAAUUCUGUUGCUGUUAAAAAGCUCGUAGUUGAACGGUUUUUGAGGAUGGAGU
rnacentral:rRNA from 1 species